CAGCUCUGCUUCUCUGUACUCUAAUUUGUAUAACUCUAAAGUGGAGUUUUUAACCUACUCUUCAUGUGUAGCAAGAUUCAGCAAACCAUGUUCUUAUGUUCUUGCUCCAGGUAACUCAGGGUGCUUCGUCAUGUUAUGGAGACAGUGUGUUUGUGGUGUGCUCUGUGCAUAGCGUGGAACAGUUUACAGGCCUCUGAUUGUUGGAAGCAGACAGGCUUCAGAGCUCAUGCCAUUCUUCUUCUCCCUGAGGUCAUCUUUCUUUGGACUUUUCUUGUCUUCAUGAGAGGAAAACCCAGGAGACACAGAUGGUGGCUGGGUCACCGAUGGAAUCUUCUCAGAAUUGGAUUUGCAGCCUAAAACCUAAAGUCAUACACCUCUUCAGGAUGUUUCUCUGGAAAAAUCAUCAAACAGAAUUCAAUUGGUAAGAUCUCCAAGAAGUAAUUUUUCCCCUCCUGACCAGGACCAGAAGCACCAAAUCCAUGAGAAUCAUACCAGAUAAAUAUCAUUUACUCAAAGGGAGUAGCGUCAAUGAAGAGAUUCUCUGAAUAUCAAGUAUUUUUUUUUUUUUUUUUUGGUCUUUUUGAGGGCCGCUCCCAUGGCAUAUGGAGAUUCCCAGGCUAGGGGUCGAAUCACAGCUGGAGCCACCGGCCUAUGCCAGAGCCACAGCAAUGCAAGAUCCGCGCCGCGUCUGCAACCUACAUGACAGCUCACAGCAAUGCCAGAUCCUUAACUCACUGAGCGAGGCCAGGGAUCGAACCCCAAACCUCAUGGUUCCUAGUCUGAUUCGUUAACCACUGAACCAUGACGGGAACUCCUGAAUAUCAAGAAUUUGAGGAGUAUUCCAACUUACUUCCAGCCUGUUUCUUCUCAGAGAUCUCACAUGUAAAUAUCCACAUAUAUAUCUUUUUUUUUUUGUCUUUUUGUCUUUUGUUGUUGUUGUUGUUGUUGUUGUUGCUAUUUCUUGGGCCGCUCCCGCGGCAUAUGGAGGUUCCCAGGCCAGGGGUUGAAUCGGAGCUGUAGCCACCGGCCUACGCCAGAGCCACAGCAACGCGGGAUCCGAGCCGCAUCUGCAACCUACACCACAGCUCACGGCAGCGCCGGAUUGUUAACCCACUGAGCAAGGGCAGGGACCGAACCCGCAACUUCAUGGUUCCUAGUCGGAUUCGUUAACCACUGCGCCACGACGGGAACUCCAUUUUUUUGCCUUUUUUUUAGGGCUACACCCGCAGCAUAUGGAAGUUCCCAGGUCCAAUUGGAGCUGCAGCUGCUGGUCUAGACCACAGCCACAGUAAUGUGGGAUUCUUAACCCACUGAUCCAGGCCAGGGAUUGAACCUGCAUCCUUACAGAUACUAGUUGGGUUCAUUACCACUGAGCAACAACAGGAACCACACACACACAUAUAUAUUUAAAUCUGAUAUCCAGUUUUUGAAACACAAUUUAACCUAAAUAAUGAUCAGAAAUACUAAGGUGCUUUGUGAAAAUAGAGAAUAUAAUGCUGGGUCCUGGCCUCAUUGGUUAUUCAACUUAAAAUUUCUCAAAAACAGAGCAGAAACUCUAUACACUUAAUGGAAAUGGGAACGGUUUUAUUACGAUGAUGUUUCCAAUGCAUAAACAUUGUGAAGGGGAGGGGAGAAAUCCUGUUAUUAUAAUGAAUAUGAAAAUCUCCUCAGUUAUUACUUAUACCUUAAUCAGCAGGAGAGAAGCAAUGCUGGAUGAAAACAAUUUGGCUCUAACCUAUGUGGAAAAAUAUGACACACAUGAGGACUCACAUUAGACAGAAAACUUCUAAGGAUAAUCAUGGUAGGAAAACCUUAGAAAAUAAUUUUUUUUUUGUCUCUUUGCCAUUUCUUGGGCCGCUCCCGCAGCAUAUGGAGGUUCCCAGGCUAGGGAUCUAAUCGGAGCUGUAGCCAUGGGCCUACGCCAGAGCCACAGCAACGCGGGAUCCAAGCCACGUCUGCAACCUACACCACAGCUCAUGGCAACGCCGGAUCGUCAACCCACUGAGCAAGGGCAGGAAUCGAACCUUCAGCCUCAUGGUUCCUAGUUGGAUUCGUUAACCACUGCGCCACAACAGGAACUCCAGAAAAUAAUUUUAUUAAUACUUUGCUCAAGGAACUCAGUGUUGUGGAGAAAACCUCUUAGUGCGUCCAACAUGAAAAAGUUUCUGGUCAGCUUUCAAAUCUCACUGGGCACCAAAAAACUCUGAAACAAGGGAAAUUGUUUUAAUGCCAAGAGUGUUGGAGAACUUUUGUUAAUCAGUCAUCCCUUAAGGUACAUAGGAGAUACCACACUGGGGAAAAGCUCUAUGUGUGUAGAGAAUUGUCGGGAGCCAUAAGGCUGCUCCAGUAAAGAAAGCAAAGCCACAGUCAGCACCUGCAUGAGGCUUGUCUGGUUAGCAGAGCUACAGACAAGCUGAAGAAAGAAGGAUUGCAGAGCAAUCCCUUGAAAGACAUUGGCUCCAGGAAAAUAAAAAUGAUAUCCCCUAAAAAAUAUGUUAAUCU
rnacentral:lncRNA from 1 species